GACGAACCGUGCGAACGUUGUUCGGAUUCACUGGGCUUAAAGGGCGCGUAGGCGGACCUGCCAGUCAGGGGUGAAAGCCCCCGGCCCAACCGGGGAAGUGCCUUUGAUACUGCGGGUCUCGAGCGGGAUAGGGGCAGCUGGAACUUCCGGUGGAGCGGUGAAAUGCGUAGAUAUCGGAAGGAACGCCGGCGGCGAAAGCGAGCUGCUGGAUCCCUCCUGACGCUGAGGCGCGAAAGCCAGGGGAGCGAACGGG
rnacentral:rRNA from 1 species